UGUAAUCGGUCAUUCAGCAUGAACGUUGUUAGCUAUUCCUCCAUUCAAAACGAUUUUCCCUUUUCCUUUCCCUUCUUUCCCGCGUCUCUCUACCCAAAUCGAGCUCACCGAACCCCUGUUCUGUUCUCCUCUCCAACUAGUGAAGACAAAAGGCAUCAUCGGCGGUCCGUCCUCCACCGGCGACCGGCAACAGAACCGAUAUUCCGUCGGCGACGAACGACUUCAUCUGCAACUAAUCCUUGGGCGACCGGUGAUAAAUCUUGGUGCAGAGAUGAGUUCUCAAUCGACAUCUCAGAGCACAUCUUAUAAGAAAUUGAAGUAUCCAUCAAGAAUUUGUGAUUGUGGAAAGAAAUGUGUAAUCCACAUGUCGGAGACAAAUUUGAACCCACAAAGGUUGUUUUAUAAUUGUCUCGGAAUCAUGGAAAAGAAAGUCAAAGUGGCGUUUUGCAAUUAUUUUGAAUGGCCAUUUCCUACAACCACUUCCGAUGAAGCUACAUCAUCAAUGAAUGUAGGACAUGCAGUAACUCACGCUAAAGAGAUCAAUAGGUUAUUAUUUGAAUUGAAUAGGUGUGUGUAAUCAAUGGAGUCUUCGAAGGAUCAUCAAUAGCUACUUUCUAAAGAAUUGAAGAGGAUACGAGUUUUGCUCAUUAUUUUUAUAAUUGGGUUUCUUGUGGUGUAUAUGUUCAACAAAUAGCAGUUAGGAACUAUGUUUGCAGUAGAAAUGUAUUUUGACCAAGACUCUAGUAUUUAUGAUCAGGAAAUAUGUGUAUUUAUGUUAGGGAUGAGCAUUGGACUCAAAUGGCAUUCAGCCAUUUAUAUGUAUUUAAGCUUUUAGUUUGAUAUAUGUUGAACCAUGUAUAUGUAUUCAAUCAUGUUGGAAGCUGAAUUGGUAGUAGACCUAGUUUGGUAGUA